GACGAACGCUGGCGGCGUGCUUAACACAUGCAAGUCGAACGGACAGGCCCUGCUCUUGUGGGGUGCUCGAGUGGCGAACGGGUGAGUAACACGUGAGUAAACUGCCCUUGACUUUGUGAUAACUUCAGGAAACUGGGGCUAAUACCGGAUAGGAGCUCCUGAUGCAUGGUGGGGGUUGGAAAGUUUCGGCGGUUGGGGAUGGACUCGCGGCUUAUCAGCUUGUUGGUGGGGUAGUGGCUUACCAAGCCUUUGACGGGUAGCCGGCCUGGGAGGGGGACCGGCCACAUUGGGACUGAGAUACGGCCCAGACGCCUACGGGAGGCAGCAGUGGGGAAUAUUGCACAAUGGGCGGAAGCCUGAUGCAGCAACGCCGCGUGCGGGAUGACGGCCUUCGGGUUGUAAACCGCUUUCGCCUGUGACGAAGCGUGAGUGACGGUAAUGGGUAAAGAAGCACCGGCUAACUACGUG
rnacentral:rRNA from 1 species